CUAGGGACGGUGCGAAGAUCGUUGUCCGCAGCGACCAAGGCGUAAUGUAUUCAAGGAACAUUGGAGAUGCAAAGAAGGUUUUUGAUAGCUUCGAGAAUAUUCCUACGACAACUGAUGAACACUCUUCAGAAGAAAUGGAUGACGACGCGGAAAAUGAGGAUUUUCUGAAGAACAAAACCUCUGAUGUUAGGUGUAGAAAAUCAGAUGACUCAGGUGCAGAAUGUGUACAGCAAUCACUGGCACAAAAUACAAAACCGAGAUCCAAACGAGAAACUAAAUUGCCGAGCAAGUUCAAGGAUAUGCUGUUGUACAAUGUGUAUGAAUAAAAAUUUGUACAAAUGCUGGUUUUCAAAUGCAAAUGAAAAAAACGAACAAUACAAGAUGUAUUUAGCUAAUCGA
rnacentral:lncRNA from 1 species